rnacentral:lncRNA from 1 species
CGAAGGCUAACACCUACGGAUUUUUGACCAAGAAAUGUUCUCCACCAGAAAUCCAAGAAUGUGAUCUAUGGCAAGGAAACAUAUGUGGGGUGAGGUGUAUGAGCCUCUGGUCGAUGAUCAAUGGCUACACAACCCCCAUUUUUGUCGAAAAUAGCCAUGAACGACCAUUUUCAAUAAUACUGAAGGCUAACACGUACGGAUUUUUGACCAAGAAAUGGUCUCCACCAGAAAUCCAAGAAUGUGAUCUAUGGCAAGAAAACAUAUGUGGGGUGACGUGUACGAGCCUCUGGUCGGUGAUCAAUGGCCAUACAGCCCCCAUUUUGUCGAAAAUAGCCAUGAAUGACCAUUUUCAAUAAUACCGAAGGCUAACACCUACGGAUUUUUGACCAAGAAAUGGCCUCCACCAGAAAUCCAAGAAUGUGAUCUAUGGCAAGGAAACAUAUGUGGGGUGAGGUUUACGAACCUCUGGUCGAUGAUCAAUGGCCACACAACCCCCAUUUUGGUCGAAAAUAGCCAUGAACGACCAUUUUCAAUAAUACCGAAGGCUAACACCUACGGAUUUUUGACCAAGAAAUGGUCUCCACCAGAAAUCCAAGAAUGUGAUCUAUGGCAAGGAAACAUAUGUG